AACGCGAAGAACCUUACCUGGUCUUGACAUCCUGGGAAUCCCGUAGAGAUAUGGGAGUGCCGCAAGGAACCCAGAGACAGGUGCUGCAUGGCUGUCGUCAGCUCGUGUCGUGAGAUGUUGGGUUAAGUCCCGCAACGAGCGCAACCCUUGUCCUUAGUUGCCAGCAUUUAGUUGGGCACUCUAAGGAGACCGCCGGUGACAAACCGGAGGAAGGUGGGGAUGACGUCAAGUCAUCAUGGCCUUUAUGACCAGGGCUACACACGUGCUACAAUGGUAGAUACAGAGGGUUGCCAACGCGCAAGCGGGAGCCAAUCCCAGAAAGCCGAUCUCAGUUCAGAUUGUGGACUGCAACUCGUCCACAUGAAGUCGGAAUUGCUAGUAAUGGCGCGUCAGCAACAGCGCCGUGAAUACGUUCCCGGGCCUUGUACACACCGCGCAUA
rnacentral:rRNA from 1 species